AUUUUUUAUUCACCAUUUACUAAAUUAAUACUAAAUUUACACUGGCACCUAUAAAUUCUGCCACACUCAUAUAUUUCUUAAAUGAUGAAAUGUUUGCAAUACACUAUGGUAUUAAUUAUUUUUAUACAAUAAGUUUGUAAAGACGUUAUCAAAUCUAUUUAGCUUUUAUGUGGCCUGAAUAUUUAUCACAACGGGUAAGUAGAAAAAAGCAUGCCUCACAGAUAGCUUUUUACUUGCAUUAAUAUUUUGACUUAAAAAAAUGAAAGAAUUUUUCCCCAAUUGAUAAAGUAUUGUUCAUUCCCAUAUCCUGUCACAAAAUUCCUUAUUAAUUGUCUUUCAAAAAUCAAAAAAGUUUAUAAAUGAAGACUUAUGAAGGUGAAAACAUUUGUACUUUCUCUUUUUUUAAGAACAAUGUGAUUCUAUGUACCUUUAUCAACUAUUGUAAUGCCCCCAGUUCGAAUGAUUGGGGGUAUAUUGUUUUUGGCCUGUCUGUCUGUCAUUCUGUCCCAAAACUUUAACCUUGGUAACCUUGCGAUAACUUUUGAAAUAUUAACUUUUGAAAUAUUGAACAUAGCAACUUCAUAUUUGGCAUGCACGUGUAUCACGUGGAGCUGCACAUUUUGAGUGGUGAAAGGUCAAGGUCAUCCUUCAAGGUCUAAGGUAAAACAAAAAUAAAAGCGGCGCAAUAGGGGACAUUGUGUUUCUGACAAACACAUCUCUUGUUCCUAUUAAAUGAAUUAAUUCAUGAUAUGGAUUUUUUUUGUUUAAUUUCAAUUUUUUGUGUUUUUUAAAUAAAGUGUAUACAUAAGCAGAAAAUAAAAAAAAAUCUGUUUUGAUGAAUAAUUUCAGUUUUUACUUCAUCCUCCCAUAAGGUUUGUUGGGUCCAUGGGGUGAACCCUUAUAUGUAUGUUAGCCUUGGACAUCAGGUUCUGAAAUGCCACCAUGGUACAGACAAGAAUAAGAAGAGAAAACUGGAAAAGGAGAAGGUAUUGGACAGAAAAAUGACAAAGACAGUUAGCAGUGAGCAACAUUCAUAUGCUAAAUAGAAAACAAGGCAUGCAGUGCAGCUCUCCAAAAAAUUGGACUGUCCUGCUUCUAUCAUUCUGAAGGAAGUGUUGAUAUUCACCCCUGAAGAGGGUUCAUCAAGCGAGCUGGACACAAAAAUGGCUGCUUCUAAUGUGAGGAGUGAUCUGAGUAAAGGCAUCAAGAAGAUAAUGGUGGUGUUUCCUAACAUCGAACACAAGUACCAUACAAGUGGAGAGAACGCUGGGCUGUUGCAACGUAUCGACAGUGAUGUUGCCUCAAAAAUUAACGUACUUGUGGUGGAAGAGGG